CCAGCAGCAGCUCGCUUCCGCCGGGGCCGGCUCCGCCCUUCGGCCGUGACGUUAGGGGCGGGGUCUCUUCGGGCACCGCCCCCUCCGCCAACGCGGACAGGGCGGGGCCUGGUGAGGGCCCGGGAGCACAAACGCGACGCAUCUCCACGGCCUGCGGAGCCGAGGACGGGGGGAACACCGCGGACGCUCCCACCAAGGAGGGCGCCGACCUCCCGAGCUGGACCCUCGGGAGCGCCAGGGUGCCAAGGAAGCAGGAUUUUCUGUGUGAAGAAUCCAUCACUCACCCGUCUUACGGAAGGCUGUAGGCUGGGAGAGGCUGAAGGACUGGCCCAGAGUCAGCAGCAGGAAGGCCGUCUGAUCAGCGCCUCCAGAGAGCUCCCCAAAGCCAGCAGGAGCGCCCACGGUCAGGCUUCGCUCCAUCGUCCACCUGCUCUAUGAAAGGGGGCUUAAAAUCCCAUCCUUGAGACCACCAAGGCCUGGAGCAGCUGAAGCCUCUGCACACCAAGGACGGACGGAAAGGAUACUGUCUUCUCCCGGGCGUUAGCGAUCACCAGGUUCUCCAUCACCUGCCGCUGCAGGGACAGGGUCUAGGACGGGAAGGAUGGAGUAAGGCCUGCUCCCCCCACCGCCCUCACUCCAGACCCUCCUGGGCUCCGCUCACCAGGGAUGUCUUCUGCAUGGCCUGGCUGGGGUCCAGACGGGCCAUCCGGGCCUCAUACGCAGCCUUCAGCUUCUGAUUCUGCAGGGAGGCCUCCUCCAGGGGUGUCAGCUCCCUGGAAUGGUGACAAGCUGCUGUCUAGGCUCCAGGAAGCCCAGGAACGCUCUGGUCACCUGAGGUCCCUUCCUGACCCUGCCCUGAGACCAGAAGAGCUUUGUGACUCUACAACCUGAAGCUUCUGGAAGAUCUCAGGCGGCAGAAAUGGAGAGAGCUUCCCUCCCUCAUCUGAGUAUACCCGGCGGUGUCGGCUGGUAGGAGAGGGGACGGGAGCAGCCACAGGCAUGGCUGGCCUCAGGCAUGUUUUCCCUGUAAGACAUAUGUAGCCAAGGGUCUGCACAAGGGCCUGACAUUCCACAAAGGAGAUACAGACUUGGGACUUCCCUGGUGGCUCAGUGGUUAAGAAUCCGCCUGCCAAUGCAGGGGACACGGGUUCGAGCCCUGGUCUGGGAAGAUCCCACGUGCUGUGGAGCAACUAAACCCGUGUGCCACAACUACUGAGCCUGUGCUCUACAGCCCGCGAGCCACAACUACUGAGCCUGCGUGCCUAGAGUCUGUGCUCCGCAACAAAGAGAAGCCACUGCAAUGAGAAGCCCGCGCACUGCAACAAAGAGUAGCCCCCGCUCACUGCAACUAGAGAAAGCCCGCGCACAGCAACGAAGACCCAACGCGGCCAAAAAAUAAAUUAAUUAAUUAAUUUAAAAAAAAAAAAAGGAGAUGCAGACUUGGGGGGGGGUGAUGUCCUAAGAAAGCUUUCUGCCGGACACCCACCAAGUUUG